rnacentral:pre_miRNA from 1 species
UCACCGGCGGUCUCUAAUUCGCUUGGUGCAGGUCGGGAACCGAUUUGGCCUCAAUUCAACGUUUUAUCCAGAUGGCGGCCUGUGAUUGGUUAUGGCUUUCAAAUAUUAAGUUGAAAGCGAGAAUUGGAUCCCGCCUUGCAUCAACUGAAUCGGAGACCGAGGUGAAA